GCAGGGCGGGGCGCGCG
rnacentral:miRNA from 1 species